rnacentral:rRNA from 1 species
AUUGAACGCUGGCGGCAUGCCUUACACAUGCAAGUCGAACGGUAACAGGUCUUCGGAUGCUGACGAGUGGCGAACGGGUGAGUAAUACAUCGGAACGUGCCCGAGAGUGGGGGAUAACGAGGCGAAAGCUUUGCUAAUACCGCAUACGAUCUCAGGAUGAAAGCAGGGGACCGCAAGGCCUUGCGCUCACGGAGCGGCCGAUGGCAGAUUAGGUAGUGGGUGGGAUAAAAGCUUACCAAGCCGACGAUCUGUAGCUGGUCUGAGAGGACGACCAGCCACACUGGGACUGAGACACGGCCCAGACUCCUACGGGAGGCAGCAGUGGGGAAUUUUGGACAAUGGGCGCAAGCCUGAUCCAGCCAUGCCGCGUGCAGGACGAAGGCCUUCGGGUUGUAAACUGCUUUUGUACGGAACGAAAAGACUCCUUCUAAUAAAGGGGGUCCAUGACGGUACCGUAAGAAUAAGCACCGGCUAACUACGUGCCAGCCGCCGCCGUAAUAC